rnacentral:rRNA from 1 species
GUGUCAGCAGCCGCGGUAAUACGGAGGGUCCAAGCGUUAUCCGGAUUCAUUGGGUUUAAAGGGUGCGUAGGCGGAAUGAUAAGUCAGUGGUGAAAUCCUACAGCUUAACUGUGGAACUGCCAUUGAUACUGUCGUUCUAGAGUCUAAUUGAAGUAAGCGGAAUAUGGCAUGUAGCGGUGAAAUGCAUAGAUAUGCCAUAGAACACCAAUUGCGAAGGCAGCUUACUAAGUUAGUACUGACGCUGAGGCACGAAAGCGUGGGGAGCGAACAGGAUUAGAUACCCUGGUAGUCCACGCCGUAAACGAUGAUUACUCGAUGCUGGUGAUAUACAAUCAGUGUCCAAGCGAAAGCGUUAAGUAAUCCACCUGGGGAGUACGAUCGCAAGGUUGAAACUCAAAUGAAUUGACGGGG